rnacentral:rRNA from 1 species
GUGCCAGCCGCCGCGGUAAGACGGGGGAUGCAAGUGUUAUCCGGAAUUACUGGGCGUAAAGCGUCUGCAGGUGGUUUCUUAAGUCUACUGUUAAAUCUUGAGGCUCAACCUCAAAUCUGCAGUAGAAACUAGGAGACUUGAGUAUAGUAGGGGUAGAGGGAAUUUCCAGUGGAGCGGUGAAAUGCGUAGAUAUUGGAAAGAACACCGAUGGCGAAGGCACUCUACUGGGCUAUUACUGACACUCAGAGACGAAAGCUAGGGGAGCAAAUGGGAUUAGAAACCCCCGUAGUCC